rnacentral:rRNA from 1 species
AACUUCUGAAUGUUGACCUCGAAUCAGGUAGGAAUACCCGCUGAACUUAAGCAUAUCAAUAAGCGGAGGAAAAGAAACCAACAGGGAUUGCCCCAGUAACGGCGAGUGAAGCGGCAACAGCUCAAAUUUGAAAUCUGGCUCUCGGGCCCGAGUUGUAAUUUGUAGAGGAUGCUUUUGGUGAGGUGCCUUCCGAGUUCCCUGGAACGGGACGCCAUAGAGGGUGAGAGCCCCGUCUGGUUGGACACCGAUCCUCUGUAAAGCUCCUUCGACGAGUCGAGUAGUUUGGGAAUGCUGCUCUAAAUGGGAGGUAUAUGUCUUCUAAAGCUAAAUACCGGCCAGAGACCGAUAGCGCACAAGUAGAGUGAUCGAAAGAUGAAAAGAACUUUGAAAAGAGAGUUAAAAAGUACGUGAAAUUGUUGAAAGGGAAGCGCUUGUGACCAGACUUGGGCUCGGUUGAUCAUCCAGGGUUCUCCCUGGUGCACUCUUCCGGCCCAGGCCAGCAUCAGUUCGCCCCGGGGGAAAAAGGCUUCGGGAAUGUGGCUCUCUCCGGGGAGUGUUA